rnacentral:rRNA from 1 species
GAUGAACGCUGGCGGCGUGCUUAACACAUGCAAGUCGAACGGGAAUUAUUUUAUUGAAACUUCGUUCGAUUUCAUUUAAUUCUAGUGGCGGUCGGGUGAUUAACGCGUGUGUAACCUGCCUUAUACAGGGGGAUAACAGUCAGACAUGGCUGCUAAUACCGCAUAAGCGCACACAGCUGCAUGCCCCAUUUUGAAAAACUCCGGUGGGAUAAGAUGAACCCGCGUUGGAUUAGCUGGUUGGGGGGGUAACGGCCCACCAAGGCGACGAUCCAUAGCCGGGAAGAGAGGGAGAACGGAGACAUUGGGACGGGGACACGGCCCAGAAUACUACGGGAGGCAGCAGUGGGGAAUAUUGCAAAGUGGGGGGAACGAUGAUGCAGCGACGCCGCGUGAAGGAAGAAGUAUGGCGGUAAGUAAAGUUAGAUCAGAAGGGAAGAUAGUGACGGUACCUGACUAAGAAGCCCCGGCUAACUACGUG